UACCGAGGGGGCAAGCGUUGUUCGGAAUUACUGGGCGUAAAGGGCGCGUAGGCGGCCUUCUAAGUCGAACGUGAAAUCCCCGGGCUCAACCUGGGAACUGCAUCCGAUACUGGAUGGCUUGAAUUCGGGAGAGGGAUGCAGAAUUCCAGGUGUAGCGGUGAAAUGCGUAGAUAUCUGGAGGAAUACCGGUGGCGAAGGCGGCAUCCUGGACCGAGAUUGACGCUGAUGAGCGAAAGCUAGGGGAGCAAACGGG
rnacentral:rRNA from 1 species